GCUUUCAUGUGGCUCAGUUGGGUAUAGAGCAUAAAGUAUAGAGCAUUGCGCUAACAACGCAAAGGUUAUGGGUUCAAAUCCUAGGGAAAGCU